GGGGAUGUGGCUCAGUGGUAAAGUGCUUGCCUAGCAUGCAUGAGGCCCCUAGGUUUGAUCCCCAGCACUACCA
rnacentral:tRNA from 1 species